AUACGACCGCUUUUAUAGUAACUUAACUUUUACUUGAAGACUGAUGGGUGGAUUUUCAAUGUCCAAGGAAAAUAUAAUAACUCUAUCAACUCGAUUCAAAUCGAUCACACAGGCGGAGAGAGUUACACCACUUACAACACAAGUGCUCCUUUUGUGCAUUUUUAGUACGGAACCCUAAAAAUAGUCGAUGCUGCCGAUGACUCUUUUUCUAGACAGAUCAAAUAAGACACAUCAUCGUCACGCAGCAGACGUCUAUGGAACUUCCCAUAUUAUAAAAUUUAAUGAACGCUUUAACGGUGACAGACGGUUUGACGCAACGGAACCGGCCCUUGUGUGUGAUGCUGUAAAUGAUUAGUCACCGACACAGUUAUGUGCAUACUUCACAUUUGCACAACAAGAGAUCGCAUAAGAGUAAGUAAUUUAAUCUCUUUAAUAUAAUGUAUGGCCUAUAGCAACUCAAUAGCGCUUCCUGCAAUUAUAGGGAAUAGUUAUUUGUUAUACAAGGGGGCAAAGUUGUAUUUUAACGCCGAGUGUGGAAUUGAAA